UACGAAGGGUGCAAGCGUUACUCGGAAUUACUGGGCGUAAAGCGUGCGUAGGUGGUUCGUUAAGUCUUAUGUGAAAGCCCUGGGCUCAACCUGGGAAUGGCAUUGGAAACUGGCGACCUAGAGUGCGGUAGAGGGUAGUGGAAUUCCCGGUGUAGCAGUGAAAUGCGUAGAGAUCGGGAGGAACAUCUGUGGCGAAGGCGACUGCCUGGACCAGCACUGACACUGAGGCACGAAAGCGUGGGGAGCAAACAGG
rnacentral:rRNA from 1 species